rnacentral:rRNA from 1 species
CACGUAGGGUGCGAGCGUUGUCCGGAAUUAUUGGGCGUAAAGAGCUCGUAGGCGGUGUGUCGCGUCGGCCGUGAAAACCUGCAGCUUAACUGUGGGCUUGCGGUCGAUACGGGCAUCACUGGAGUUCGGCAGGGGAGACUGGAAUUCCUGGUGUAGCGGUGAAAUGCGCAGAUAUCAGGAGGAACACCGGUGGCGAAGGCGGAUCUCUGGGCCAUUACUGACGCUGAGGAGCGAAAGCGUGGGGAGCGAACAGGA